rnacentral:rRNA from 1 species
AUUGACGGAAGGGCACCACCAGGAGUGGAGCCUGCGCCUUAAUUUGACUCAACACGGGGAAACUUACCAGGUCCAGACACAAGAGGGAUUGACAGAUUGACAGCUCUUUUUUGAUUCUGUGGGUGGUGGUGCAUGGCCGUUCUUGGUUGGUGGCGUGGUUUGUCUGGUUUAUUCCGAUAACGAACGAGACCUUAACCUGCCAAAUAGUUACAUGUAAUUACGGUUGUGUGGACAACUUCUUGAAGGGACUGUGUGUGCCUAGCACGAGCAAGUGUGAAGCAAUAACAGGUCUGUGAUGCCCUUAGAUGUUCUGGGCUGCACACGUGCUGCACUGAUGCAGCCAGAGAGUGUCCUAUCUUCCCUGGAGAGGUUGGUCAAUCUGCCAACCUGUGUCGUGAUGGGGAUGAAUCAUUGCAACUAUUGCUCCUGAAUUCCUAGCAAAAGCAGGUCAUCAACUUGCAUUGAUUGUGUUCCUGCCCUUUGUACACACAGCCCGUCGCUCCUAGCGAUUGAGUGGUCCGGUGAAAAGCUUGGACCUGCUGUAGCAUCCAGUCGUGGAGCAGCACAGCCAGAAAUUCAGUGAACCUUAUCACUUAGAGGAAGGAGAAGUCGUAACAAGGUUUCUGUAGGUGAACCUGCAGAAGGAUCA